rnacentral:rRNA from 1 species
UACGUAGGGUGCAAGCGUUAAUCGGAAUUACUGGGCGUAAAGCGUGCGCAGGCGGUUAUGUAAGACAGGUGUGAAAUCCCCGGGCUUAACCUGGGAACUGCAUUUGUGACUGCAUAGCUAGAGUACGGUAGAGGGGGAUGGAAUUCCGCGUGUAGCAGUGAAAUGCGUAGAUAUGCGGAGGAACACCGAUGGCGAAGGCAAUCCCCUGGACCUGUACUGACGCUGAGGCGCGAAGGCGUGGGGAGCGAACGGG